AUAAAUGGACAAGAGAGACGCAUUCCCGCUUACAUUUGGUGUUUUUAAUCCGUCUCUUUGUCGACUUGCGAGUUAAAACGCAAGCGGGAGAAAUGACGCGAGACGGAGAAAUGACACGUUUAAACUACGCGCAGCCGUGCACUUAUAUAUCACUAUAUGAGAUUACUGCUGCUUGUGUUGUUAGGUAACAUCCUCAUUUCAGAGCAAUUGAUUCAAUAAGCUCGCGCAACUCUACACCCUUGCUAAAUAAAAGAGGCGGAGCGAAGACGCAUUAGUUUUAUUAAAGUCUAAAGUUUGCACGGAACCCUGGGGUUUUGUUAUAAAAACGUUGUGCACAACAUUAAACAUAGUUAGUGUACAUUAGUAUGUGCUCCGUCAAGCAUUGUCUUCGUAACUGUGAGUGGCUAACGUUAACUAAUUUGUGAAGAACACAACUUACUGUAAAGCUAAUAUUAAUCAAUGACUUCAUAAGUUUCUCUUUAUAACGUUCUCGUCAAAACUGCAAAUGAUGCAAGUUUUAUGUAUUUUGUUCUCUUUGUGUUUUAAAGUUAUUUAUAAUAAGUCAAGUUUACUGUUUAGUGCACUGAUAUCCAACUAAUUUUGGAUAAUAAAGUUUAUUGUUAACUUCUUGCCUAUAGUACAUAUCUUUGUCACAUCAAUAUAAGUGUUGGAUCACCACAUUUGUGAGUGAUCACCACAUAUGUGAGUGAUCAUUGCAUUGCAUUGUAUUUAUUCAUAUACAGUAUAUUAUGUUAAAGUAUAUAGUGUAUUCUAUGUACAGUACUUUAGUAUAAUAUACUGUAGUAUAUACUGAACUAUAAUAUACACAUAAAGAAUAUCGGCCGAUAUAUCGUUAUCGGUCUUUUUUUUGCUCCCUAAUAUCUGUAUCGGCAUCGGCCCCAAAAAACGCAUAUCGGUCGGGCUCUAUUAUAAAGUCCAUUGUUUGAAGUGAGCCACUAAAAGCCCACUGCUUUUGUAUUUGUUUUAGAGUUUCUUGUUUGAACUGAGCCAAUAAACUGCCCACUAAUCUUCAGAAAAAUGCUCCAGUUCCUGCACAUUCUUUCAUAUUUGAACUCUUUCUAACAGUAAUUGUAUGAUGUUGAGAUUUAUCUAUUCACAUUUAGGAUGAUUAAAAGACUUCUACAAGAAUGCAACACUUUAGCCAAAGCCAUAUUAUAUGAGCCAGUUGUAUAUACAUUUUUAAAGAUGAUGAUUCAUAGUAAAUUAUUAUUUUGUCUUUUAUAUAUAAAGACUUCUAAAUGGAACAUUAUUAUGGAGAUCGGUAUUUCCUUAAAGGAACAUUAUGUAGGAUUGUGGCCAAAACUGGUAUUGCAAUCACAAAACAUAAACAUCAGUUGAGGGCUGCAACUCCACUUUUUAAAUGACAAUAUUCUGGCCGGAUCACUGUUGUCAGUGAUAUAAGUAUUUGAAAUGAAAAUGAUUUCUUAAUGUCUAGUGACAUAUCAGGGCCAUUUUAUGAUUAAUUGAUAUGCAUUUCUUACAUACUGUUCCUUUAAGUGUGGCUCUUGACUUUUAAUCUCUUUUACUCUAUAGUAAACCACUUUUGUAAUGAUAAAAAUAUGAGAUUUUGACAAACAGAUCAGCUGAUGGUGCCUUAUGAUCUUUGUUGACUGUAAUUAAAUCAUGAAGUAAUAGAAAUAAAAACUCAGCUUGAAGUGUCAAUGAUUAGAUUCAAAAUAGCUGCUGUUUUAUUAAAGCUGCAGUCUGCAGGUUUAGCCUCUUUAUCUUUAUCCUCUGUUUAAAAAAAAUGCAGUUACAGUAGGUGCUCAACCAGAAUGCCUCCUAGCCGAGCUCUUGACCCUGCAAUAGUUCCACAGCAUUAAAUUAAAAUAAUUUACAUGUGAUACUCAUUCAUGAAAAUCCUGCCACAGAAAAUGGACAUUUUGCACCUUAAAGUCAGCUGUUGUUAUAAUAACAAUUUAGCUCAUAAGUUAAAGAUGAAAAUAAGUAAUGUAAUGUAUCAAGAAUAAACAGUGUUUAAAUAUUACUUAACAUUGCUUAACAAAUCAUGUAGGUAGUAUUUCAUGUUUUAUAUGUAAACACAUUUAAAAAGUGGAUCAUUAUAGUGAAGGUAAUUUUUUUAUUGCAUGACAAUGUAAAAAUAAAACCAUGAGUUACUGAAAUGUAUAAUGUAGAAAUAAUGCAGUUAUAGUGGACUUUGUGCCAGGUGCAAGACUGUAGACACUAAACAUUUAAUCCAAUGUGUUGUUUUAUUUAUGCGAGUCUAGAGCGAGUAUUUGUGUCUAAUAGUAACAGUGUUUUAAUAAUGAAAAUAAUAACUUGGCUUUAAUUGCAAAAUUAAACUGAAACUACUUUGUUUGUAGUACAAACACAAUUUCAUAACCGUAAUCAAGAUUUUGGUGUCCAGUAUGAGAUUGACCAAAAACAACCUUGGAUAAACAUUUAAAAUAAGUUAUUUCUACAGCGGUUCUGUGACCAACAACAACCUCGGAUAAAAACAGACCAUAGACACGCUGAAGAAAUAACAUUUUAUAAAUGUAGUUUUCAUAUGUAUACCCCUGUAGUGAACAGCAAAUUUGGUACAUUGGGAUUGGAUUUUGGUGGGUUAGCAUAAAUAAAUGCCCAGUUCCAUCAGAUGAGGUUACUAGGACAACUGCCAGACACCUCUUAGGGCAGCAAGGAUGACCUCAGUAACAAAGCAGAGAAGAAGAGGACGUUUUGAUUGGUCCACAGCAUUUCUCUCUUCUUAACUCUUCCCUGUCUUUGACGAGAUAUCUCGUCAAUAAAGAGAACACAUGUCCUUGCCAAUGACAGGUUUUUACAGGAAUCCAUAUUUCCACUACUAUUCACUAGGUGGCACUCUUUCCCAACCUACAAACCACUAAGGCAGUGUUUCCCAAUUCUGGUCCUUGAGGCCCCCCUCCCAGAAAGUUUUAGAUGUCUCCCUAACAAGCUGAUGAGUUAAAUCAGGCGUGUUAAAGGAAUUCUUCAGCCAAUUUAAAUUUGAAUAUAUUAUUAAAUUGGGUCAGCUAUGUAGUAGAAGUGUGAAGUUAUUUUAGAAAUUGGUGCCUUCUAGGCCGAGAAAAGCCAGAAAAUUAGUUUUUUGACUCAUGUGGAUGUAAAACACCAAAUCCCAGAAUGCAUUGCUUCGCUGCUCUACGAGGCCACUCCCUAGUCACGCCGAAAUUGGUGCCUUCUAGGCCGAGAAAAGCCAGAAAAUUAGUUUUUUGACUCAUGUGGAUGUAAAACACCAAAUCCCAGAAUGCAUUGCUUCGCUGCUCUACGAGGCCACUCCCUAGUCACGCCUACCGGUUCGAGAGGGCAGGAGGGAGGAAGAUUCACCUAGGCUAAAUACAACUUUUACAGACACGUCUGCGACGAUUUAGCUGAUAUAUUAUUAUAAAUAUUACCUUUUCCACAUCGAAAUGAUGAUAAGUUGCGUUGUACCGGGAUGUUCCACCAAAACCGGGAAAGGACAAGCAUUAAAGGUGUAGCGGAGGAUUUUCUCGAAUUUUAGAAAAGAACCGCCUUCUCCACUUUUUAAAAAAUGCAAUUGCGCAAAACUCCUGAUUGACAACUAUGAGGACCAAUAGUAUUGAUGAUCCACCCGGAAAAAGAAAAUCCUCCGCAUACCUUUAAGUUUUCAUCAUUUACGGUGUAAACAAUGGCUGCGGGCUAUCAACCACCCAAAGUUUCGAGAAGACACCGAUGCGGUAAAAUUGAAAAACCUGAGGGUUUGCAGUCUCCAUUUCAAGCAUGAAGACAUCGAACCCAAUGUACUCGGAAUGAAGCGAAACACGCUAAAGGACACUGCAAUUCCGUCCAUAUUUACCUUCACAGACACGACGAACAGCCGGGGCCAUCUGGUAUCAAACGCAUUCGUCUACGUUAGAGGUAAGACUCUUGCUAAUACUCGUUUCUGAUCACACAGUAGCCUUUACAUAGUGAUACAGUUGUUAGCAGUAAAGUUAGCAAAGUAACGUUAAAUAGAUAAUGACAUAUAAGUUAUCUGUUCUCAAAAUAAAACAACUGUUAGCUACCGAGCUACAUCUGGAGUUACGUAAGCACGAAAGCCUGUUGCUGUAAAGUUAUUCGAUGGUUGAGAUAACUGCAGAUACAUUUGCGAGAUGUACAUUAUUAAUUAAAUCAUAUUUAUGCUUGCUACACGUAAAUACCAUUGCAUUUUAUCUAUAAAACUGUAAAAUAUAGUAUUGCAUAUCAUUUUUAUAGCUUUAGCUACUUUGCAUAUUCAUAUUCAGACUUUAUUGAUCCGGUGGUGAAAUUCAAAAACUACCUGCAAAGUCAAACUUCUGCUGUUAUUUUCGUAAAAGUAAUGCAAAAGUAUUGUUCUGUAUUUACUCACAGGGUUCCGGAAGAAGAUGCAGAAGAAGGGGAAAAAGAACAAUGAAAUCCUCCUUGCAUGGACCAGGUCUGUCAUAAAUCAUAUGUGGUUUUCCUGUGCAACCAGUAAGGGGGACGUCGAGGAGAAGCACGGUUCAACCAAAUGUUCUGCAAGAGAUCCAAGCAGUGGGUCUUGAAGAAAAUCUUCAUACCACACACCACACAGUUUGUAGACGAACUCAUCCAGAAGGCCAUUGACAAAAGACUCAAUCCAAACAUUGUGUUCAAAGUGCCAACGUCCUCACUUGCCCUGCCACAGCCUGCGCUGCCACCCAACAUUGCACCAGUGCCUAAACCAUCAAAGGAGGCUGCCACGACUUCUUUCAAAAGUCACUUCUGAGACUGACACUUUCUAAUAAUAAUAAUAAUCACCUCUUCCCUGAGUCCUAUUGCUGUGUCUAAUCAGAUUCUGCCACCACUCUUUAUAUUUAUAUUAUUAUAUACUGUGUGUGUAUAUAUACACAAUGUUUUUGUAUAUAUUUUUUGCUUUGUUUUUAUUUUGUGCAGGACAUUUUUAGAUGUAAAUUAUGUCAUUGUUUAUUUUAAUGUGUUCUUUUCACUGGUGACACAAUAUUUUUCCUUUGUGAAUAAUAAAAAAUAAAUUUCUUCAUCUAACCCUGUCUUUUGUACACCAAAUUUAUACAUUAUAGACUUGUAGAGGCGCAAUGAUUACUGUUAAUGUGAUUUAGCUGUCAUUACUUUACAUAUUCAUUUGGGUUAAAAAUAAAGCCAAAUAUUAUGUUUGUUACACAAUUUAGACUUAAACUUUUUUUUAAAAUGCAAGAAUGCUUUCCUCAAAUUGCAGUCACUCUAAUGUACCAGCAAUAAGGACUAUAACACGAACCACAAUCAAUGUGAGUUUUAACUUUUUAUUAAAAAACAUAAUUCACACUCAUAGCUCAUCCAGAGCCUCAUCUGUUUAUUCAUAGUCGCUAUAAUGUCCGUGAGGAGCUGGAUAUCUACGUCUGAUGUCCUGGACAACGAACACAGGCAGGUAAAACAAGUCAAUGUCCUUUCCCCAAUCUUUAGCCUUGCAAAACUCAUUCCAAGAAAUGACGAUAGGAUGUAAGUCGAUUGUCUAAAAACAGCAAGCGCGACGUUAGCAAUGCAAGCUAUUUUCACAUACAAUAGCCUAACAUAGGUGUAAAUAUAACAACCAUAGCUCAGCUGACGGACGUGAAAAACAAAAUACUCACUUUAUACCCAUGCCUCCGUUUCUCCUUGCGGGGUUCAAGAAGAAAAUUCCAUCGCUGAAAUUCGCGACAGCAAUAUGAUUCUCUUUCGGUGUCCAUAGGCGCACUGCGAGAGCGCUCACACCACCAGACCGGCCCCACCUCAGCUACAGCAGCCGCGGUGGCAGCCUCUUGUUCCUUGAUCAUCCGUAACUGUUCCGCGUAGUAUUACGGCUCGUACAGGUACCACGACCAUCAGAUCCGAGCAACAGCGAGGCGCACAGCGAGAGCACGUAAAACCACCAGACCAGCCCCACCUCGGCUACAGCAUCCGUGGUGGCAGCCUCUUGUUCCUUGAUCAUCCGUUCUGCUCCUCGUUGUAUUGCGGCUCGUACAGGUAACCACGACCAUCAGAUUCGAGCAACAGGUCAUCCUGAGCAACAAAAUCCCCUUCUGCCAUCCGUUUUCAAAACUACACUCUGCCGUCGUGGUUUGUUUACUCUGCUUUCUCCACAAAGCAAGAUCCAGGCUAGCUUAGCUUAGCGAAGAUUAAAGAUGGCUGACUCUCGUUUUGAUUCAGGCUUUUCCGAAUGGACUCGCAGUCCAACCCCUAUGGGCGGGGAGAAAACAUGCGGAAGUAGCUCCUAAUACUGGCUGUAGUCUUUG